rnacentral:lncRNA from 1 species
GAAACAUUACACGAAUUACAGUCACGAAUUCAGCAACAAAGGUUCAGCAGCAGCCAAGCUGUGUGGGAACGGUGUGUUGGAGAAACUUGAGUCGUCCAGUCACUGGAUCAUGUCCAGUCACCAGUGCCGCUCCCUGAGGUUCUUUCUCUGAGGCAGAGAAAAAUAGCUUGACGCUUUCCAAUGUUGAGGCAUUUUCAGUUAUUCACUCAUGUAUAAAGCUGGGUAAUUCUUACAGGAGCAGUAAAAACUGAGGAAUCUCACAGGCCGGCACAGCAGAGGGAUGCUUCUUCACAGCACCUGGGCUGUUUGGACAUAAUUUUGAAUCCAGCCAGCUCAGUCUGUAAGGGUCUGCAUGUUCUUGUCUGUGAAGGUUUCCUAACACGGUAUAAAGACACACAGUUUGGUGAUGCUACAUUUCCUAUAGUCUGUGUACAUGUGGGGCUACCCAGUUACAGGCUGCUGUCCAGUACAGGGUGUACACCCCAGCCUUGUGCCCAGUGAUUCUGCAAUAGACUCUGUAUUUUGUAUGCGUCCCGGCAGCUAACAUGUGAAAGAACAGAGCCAACCUGCACUAUUCUUCUUGGUUACAAUUUGUCUUAUGCCAAACUCCAUUUCCCCUUGUUAGCUGAUUUCCCCAACUAUAACCUUGGUAAUCAUCACCCCACUUUGGACUAUCCAAACAGUUUCAACUUGUUUGAUCAGUUUGAUUCCUUCUGCUUUUCCUGGUGAGGGUCACAGUUCAAGUUGUUUAAACAUUGAGUGCAGUAUAAUGUAUUUAACUUUCAUUGUGGAGAAGAGCUAAGUGUACAAUACCUAAUAUCUACUGAAGAGCUGAAUAAGUGCACAUUGACAGCCAAUUAAUGACAGCAAACUGCAUUUUCAUGUUGUAUUGUGAUACUGAAGAAACUAGUGUAUAGUGCUUUCAUAUGAUGAAUCUAUGAUAACUAUGAACCGAUGAUAACUAAUGUUACCUUUUGAAGUACACACACACACACAGUAAUCAUGUCUAUUUGAAUGGAAUUUUGUGAUAUUUAAGCCUAAAUUCUCAGUUUUGGGGAUCAAGAAAGCAUACAAAUGUUAUCAUUGGAAGUUAUGGCAAUUAUAUCUUUAAUUUAUGUAAGCCGGGAACUGCAUUUAUGAGGGGUGUUAUCUAAACACUUAGUGACACAGGGAAAAGGCUUAAGGUAAGAAUAAUCGGAGAUAUGUGAUUAGUUUUAACCCUCUCCAGGCACAUGUUGCAAAUUAGCAAUAGCUGCUAAGAUCAUAUUUUUCCUGCUGUUAGUAUUAAUUUUGCUCUGAGAGGGUUGAUAACAUGAGUUUUCUAGAAUGAAUAGUUAAGUGUGUUUUGCAGUCGAUGGGGG